UACAUUAGAUACCCGCGUAGUCCAGGGUGUAAACGCUGCGGGCUUUGGUGUUGGGGGUCCUUUGAGGGCGCCCAGUGCCGGAGAGAAGUUGUUAAGCCUGCUGCUUGGGGGAGUACGUCCGCAAGGAUGAAACUUAAAGGAAUUGGCGGGGGAGCACCGCAACGGGAGGAGCGUGCGGUUCAAUUGGAUUCAACGCCGGACAACUCACCAGGAGCGACGGUUACAUGAAGGCCAGGCUGAUGACCUUGCCUGAUUUUCCG
rnacentral:rRNA from 1 species